GCCCGCAGAGCUCAGUGGUAGAGCGCGUCACUAGUAACUCUUGAAUCUUAAGAUUCGGCAUGACGAGGUCUUUAGUUCGACUCUGGAUGUGGACA